rnacentral:rRNA from 1 species
UACGUAGGGUGCAAGCGUUGUCCGGAAUUAUUGGGCGUAAAGAGCUCGUAGGCGGUUUGUCGCGUCGAAUGUGAAAACCCGGGGCUCAACCCCGGGCCUGCAUUCGAUACGGGCAGACUAGAGUUCGGUAGGGGAGUCUGGAAUUCCUGGUGUAGCGGUGGAAUGCGCAGAUAUCAGGAGGAACACCGGUGGCGAAAGCGUUCUGCUAGGCCUGUACUGACACUGAGGGACGAAAGCUAGGGGAGCGAAUGGG